AAACAUUGAAAUCUAUGAACUAAAACAAGUAAUAUAUGUGAAUCAACUAAACAACAACAAUUGAUUAAGAAAAUAAUUAAAGCAAACAUACUAAUCAACAUAAAAAAAAUUUUACUUAGAAAAACCCAAAAAAAAUUGGCAAGUAAUUAAGCGUUCAUGGAGAUCUGCAUCAAUCGUGAUCUUCUCUCAUCAACUUUUCAUGGAGAUAUCUAUCGUUGGUCAUGCUGUCAUGGUUGAUCGGAAAAAACUUCUUGUCGACGUUCAUGGUGAUUAGUAAAAGCUUUCUCAUCGGUAUUCAUAGUAAUCGAAAAAAACUUCUACAUUGUUGGUAGUGUUGUUUGGAGAAGCUACGUGGAUUAUUAUUAGAUAUUAAAUAAAUAUUUUAUGUUUGGGUAUAAGAAUAAGGUUAUGCUUAGUUAAGUUUUGUGUGUAUUCUAGGGUUGGAUAACUAUUCCCCUAUAUAAACACUAUUUCUGUUCUCAUUUAUUACAUUUUGAAUAAUAAUAAAACUUUUUCCUAUUAUGGUAUCAGAUACUCUCUCCUAAGGAAACCAGAUCCUCUUUUUUCGGCUCAGAUCCCCUUUUUUCGGAUCUUGUCGGUUCUUCAACGACUCCAUCAUUUUUCUUCAACGAUCUCAUCGAUUUCCAUAGCAAGAACUCGAUGUUUCCCUGCUGUGAACUCUAAUCUUCCCUCUACCGCUGCUUCCAUCGUCGGCGAUGUCCUCGCUGGUUCUACCACCGUUCCCAUGGUGUCCUUUAUUGAAGCUCUGAUCGAUAACACUGCUACAAGUUCCGACCAUGGCGUCGACUCCACUACCGUUCCCGUGAUGUCUCCUCUCGCUGCAAGCUCCGACGUUCCUUUGAUCUCUCCUCCCACGGCUACUCCCAUCGCCAGUCACAUCGUGGAAGACUCCACCACUGUUCCCGUGGUGACUACCUUUGUCCAAGAUCCGAUCGCCGCCCCACCUCAGAUCGGAGCCACAUCCGCGGCUGUUCCACCUUUUUCUUCACGAUCCACCGGUGUUCUACAAGAUCCGUCCCUUCCGUGACGAAUGGACACGAGUCAGAAUCUACAAAUUGGGAUUGCUAAUCGCGUUGGACAACUUUUCUUUCUUCAACAAGAAAAUAACGCUAUUGUAAUUCUAUUUCUUGUAAUGAUGUAAACAAAUGGCAUUUACGCCUAGGACAUCCCUGCUUACAGAUUACUAAAUCCUUGAAUAAAAUUCUUCAUUUUGAUGAUCC